rnacentral:tRNA from 1 species
GGAGAGAUGGCUGAGUGGUUUAAAGCGCGCGCCUGGAAAGCGCGUGUACCUAAAAAGUACCGGGGGUUCGAAUCCCCCUCUCUCCGCCA